UACGUAGGGUGCAAGCGUUGUCCGGAAUUAUUGGGCGUAAAGAGCUCGUAGGCGGUCUGUCACGUCGGCUGUGAAAACCCGAGGCUCAACCUCGGGCCUGCAGUCGAUACGGGCAGACUAGAGUUCGGUAGGGGAGACUGGAGUUCCUGGUGUAGCGGUGAAAUGCGCAGAUAUCAGGAGGAACACCGGUGGCGAAGGCGGGUCUCUGGGCCGAAACUGACGCUGAGGAGCGAAAGCGUGGGGAGCGAACAGG
rnacentral:rRNA from 1 species